rnacentral:rRNA from 1 species
UACGUAGGGGGCUAGCGUUGUCCGGAAUCAUUGGGCGUAAAGCGCGUGUAGGCGGCCCGAUAAGUCCGCUGUGAAAGUCCAGGGCUCAACCCUGGGAUGCCGGUGGAUACUGUCGGGCUCGAGUCCGGAAGAGGCGAGUGGAAUUCCUGGUGUAGCGGUGAAAUGCGCAGAUAUCAGGAGGAACACCAAUGGCGAAGGCAGCUCGCUGGGACGUGACUGACGCUGAGACGCGAAAGCCAGGGGAGCGAACGGG